CCUACGGGAGGCAGCAGUGAGGAAUAUUGGUCAAUGGGCGAGAGCCUGAACCAGCCAAGUCGCGUGAGGGAGUACUGCCCUAUGGGUUGUAAACCUCUUUUGUCGGGGAGCAAAAGCCGGACGUGUCCGGCUGUGAGAGUACCCGAAGAAAAAGCAUCGGCUAACUCCGUGCCAGCAGCCGCGGUAAUACGGAGGAUGCGAGCGUUAUCCGAAUUUAUUGGGUUUAAAGGGUGCGCAGGCGGAUUUUUAAGUCAGCGGUAAAAUCGUGGGGCUCAACCCCAUCCAGCCGUUGAAACUGGGGAUCUAGAGUGUGCGAGAGGUAUGCGGAAUGCGUGGUGUAGCGGUGAAAUGCAUAGAUAUCACGCAGAACCCCGAUUGCGAAGGCAGCAUACCGGUGCACAACUGACGCUCAGGCACGAAAGCGUGGGUAUCGAACAGGAUUAGAUACCCUAGUAGUC
rnacentral:rRNA from 1 species